rnacentral:lncRNA from 1 species
UAUGAUAUACAAAAUUUUCAUCUGUAUAUGAGUCCAUUUCUGGACAUUCUAUUUCACUGGCCUAGGUAUUCUUCCAAUAAUCACUUAUUUCUUGUUAAACUAUAGGAGUGUUAUAAUAUGUUUUCAUUUCUAGUAGGGCUAAUGCUCUUUUACUGCUUUUCUUUUCUCUCCUACAUUUUAUCAUGAAAAAUUUUCAAAUGUUCAGAAAACUUACAGUGAAUACUCAUCCAUCUAUCCAUCCCUCUCUCAGUUCAUCUUAUUUUACGAUACAUUUCAAAGUAAAUUGAAGACAUCACUAUCACCCUCCCAAAUACUUCAGUAUGCAUAACAUCAAAUAGAGUUAAAAAUUUGUUAGUGUUCCCUAUUUUCCUGGAAUAAAUUUGUUUGUAAUGAAAGUCACAAAUCUUGAAUGUAGUAUCCAAUGAGUUUUGAGAAAUCUGGACACUCUCUGACUCCAGUAAAAUUCUUUUUCUCAGUAAAUCCUCACUUAUAUAUACUCCUGUCCCAAAGGUAAAUGCUAUUUUAAUUUUUUUUCUUAUCAUAAAUUACUUUUGCUUGUUUUAGGACUUCAUGUAAAUGGAAUCAUACACUAAAUUAUUUUGCCCUUCUGCCUUCUUCCAUGGGAAAUACAGCAAGAAAGCCCUCGCCACAUGCAGCCCCUCCAUGUUGGACUUCCCAGUCUUCAGAACCAUGAGCCAAAUAAACUUCUAUUGUUUAUAAAUUACUAAGUCUCAGGCAUCUUGUUACAGGAGCACAAAAUGGACUAAGACAUUUAGUAAUGUGAAAUGCAUUGAAGUAUGCUUUGUACAUGAUAAGCACUGAUUAAAUAUUAAAGAUCCUUAUUAGUAUCUUGCAUUGUUACCUCUCUUAUAAUAAUUUAAAAGUUAUAAAACCAAAAGCCUUCGAACUGUAAAAAGAGACUUUGAGGUCUUCAUUUCACUAAUAAUAAAAGUGAAGUCCAAAAAGAUUAAAAAACUUUCUCAGGGCAACACAGCAACUUAAUGACAGGUGAGAAACAUGACCCUGUUUUCUGACCAGUGUUUUAAGGCUUUCACUGUUCUAGUCACUGAUAAUUUGUGGUGACCAACACUGAAAUCAGUGAUUCAUUUCACAGAUAAAAUAUAAAUUAAAAGUUCAUAAGCCUAUGAAUUGGUAGACUAAAAACC